AAACCACCAAGAAAUGCCAGAAAUCUUUGAUACCAUCUAACUGAUAAUGAUCAGUUAGAUGGUAUCAAAGAUUUCUGGCAUUUCUUGGUGGUU